UGAGAAGACCGGGUGGUCGCGGCGCGCGGAACCGGUCCCGUCUGUGGGGCCAGGCCGGGUGCGGAGGAAAGUCCGGACUCCACAGAGCGCGGUGGUUGCUAACGGCAACCCAGGGUGAUCUGCGGGAUAGUGCCACAGAAAAUAACCGCCUACGGCCUUCGGGCCACGUGGGUAAGGGUGAAACGGUGCGGUAAGAGCGCACCAGCAUGCCAGGUGACUGGCGUGGCUAGGUAAACCCCACCGGGAGCAAGGUCAAGUGAUGGCACGGCUCUGCGCUGGCUAAGGGCUCGCUUCGGCGAGGCUAUGUCGGUGUGGUGUGCCGUGCUGUCGAGUUCUAGAGCUGCUCGCUUGCUAGUGAACAGGUAGACCGCUUGAGGCGCCCAGUGAUGGUGCGUCCAGAUGGAUGGCCACCUCGCAGCCAGUGUGCGGACCGCUGUCAGUGUGGGCUUCGGCCCCGUUUGGUGGUGGUUAGUGUGCCUGGCUGUAGGACAAAAUCCGGCUCACAGGUUUUCUCGGCUU
rnacentral:RNase_P_RNA from 1 species